rnacentral:rRNA from 1 species
CCUACGGGAGGCAGCAGUCGAGAAUCAUUCACAAUGGGGGAAACCCUGAUGGUGCGACGCCGCGUGGGGGAAUGAAGGUCUUCGGAUUGUAAACCCCUGUCAUGUGGGAGCAAAUUAAAAAGAUAGUACCACAAGAGGAAGAGACGGCUAACUCUGUGCCAGCAGCCGCGGUAAUACAGAGGUCUCAAGCGUUGUUCGGAAUCACUGGGCGUAAGGCGUGCGUAGGCUGUUUCGUAAGUCGUGUGUGAAAGGCGCGGGCUCAACCCGCGGACGGCACAUGAUACUGCGAGACUAGAGUAAUGGAGGGGGAACCGGAAUUCUCGGUGUAGCAGUGAAAUGCGUAGAUAUCGAGAGGAACACUCGUGGCGAAGGCGGGUUCCUGGACAUUAACUGACACUGAGGCACGAAGGCCAGGGGAGCGAAAGGGAUUAGAUACCCCAGUAGUC